rnacentral:lncRNA from 1 species
GGACAAAGGUGAAGGUACUGACUGAGGAGGCAAAUACACCAAUCCGGAGCUCAGGGAGAGGUUCAAGAAGAGGGGCAGAUUUGGAACUAUAGAUAGCCACUGAGACCACGGAGGGGCGAUUUCACCCUCCAAAAGUUAAUAAUUGCUCUCUAUGUGAUGAGAUUAUGGGUGAUUUUUAUUUUCUUAAUUGUAUAUUUUCCAAGUUUCUCAUAAUCAUUUUCAAUACAUCUUCCUUCAUAUAUAAAAAAUUAUUUAAGAUAAUAUUAGAGCCCCAUCAGUGAAUGAGAGAGACUUCUUCUUAUCCUCCGUCCCCAGGAUAAAGGCCUGGGUCCUACUUGUCCUGAAAACCAUCUGCUUACCGAUCGCUCUGGAGUACAGUGCAGGGGAACUGGAGCAAGCUUCACAGAGGUGGAUUCGCUGCUUUAUCCGUGCAGUACAAGAGUAGGAGUGCACCGAGGGACUUUAAUCCACCGGCAGCUUGGAGGAAAUAUUAGUGUCAAGAUAAAGUGAGAAUACUAUGAUGCUGAGAUGACUUUAGAGAUGUCCAAUCCACCAGAGCACCACUCUCACCUGUGUGAACCUCAGCAAAGCCUCUGCGAAGGCCUGGCAGCCCAACAACGAAGCCCUGGUCCAGAAAUGCUGUCCAGCCAGAGAUCAUGCAGUGAAUAAGGAGAGGUGGAUCCUCCACCCAGAAAGAUCAGAACUGGAGAGUCAUCUUUCUUAUUAGAGGGAGUUAAUUUCUUUGGCUUUUUUCCACUGGACUUGGACAUAGAUGGAGAGAGGGAGGAAGUCUGUGAGGCAGUCUCUCAGGGCAGGCCCCUUCCCUCUCACCCUUUCUUCAGGACAUUGACAGUAAGCUGACUGUUCACAGGAACACAGUGUCUCUGUGUCCACCAACCUGGUCACAAGAAGACUGCUUGGGCUGGAAUCUAUCCUGUCCUUGGGCAUCAUCCCCAGCUGCCCUCUAUAGCUCCACAUGCUGGGAACUCUGAAGAUUUCUACAUCUAAUGCAAAGCUUGAGGAGCAACUCCAAUCAGAGAAGCUUCUGAAAAGAGCCCGUGAGAUAGAUAUUGUCAUGCUCCCCAUGUUACACGUGAAGAAACUGAGGCAAUAGAGACUUUCACUUGCCCAGUGUCAUAAAUGCACAGGAUGGGGAGCCAAGAUUCAGACAGGCAUUCAGAAUUUGGAACCUACACCCUUAGCCAGUAGUCUCUGCUGCCUCCAGCGCAAGGCCAAGGGAGUCAAGAGACUCAGCACAGAUACCCCACACUCACCACCUGGAGGACCCUCUAAACCAAGCUGGCAAGAGACAUCCCUCCUUAUGGAACUCAAAGCCAGCAGAAGAAUCACCUAUUCUCAGGAAGGCAGCAUUUUUCACUUUCAUUAUCCGCUGGGAAAACUGAUGAUCAGGCAAUUCUAAAAACAGAGUCCAUGGGCUGAGGGACAGAGAUGGGAGAUAGAAGAAGAUAAGAUCCAAGACAAGGUCCUUCUGGAGGGAAUCUUGAUCCAUGACAAUGACUCUGAAGGUGACGAUUCUGGAUGCUGUUGCAGCCUCCAGAUAGUAGUAGAUCAGAGCUGAGUUACUUCCUCUGCUGAUACAAGGACCAGGCUCCCCAAGACAAUGCUUGGAAACCUAGCCACCAGCUACAGCACUCUGGCACAAGAACCCAUCUCUAACCCUGAGAACUUAAAGCCAGUUUCUAUUUUUAACAGUCUCUGCAGUGACAGCUCUGGCCACCACAGGACCAGGGCUGAGUGGGAGGCAAGAGAUUCCUGCUCCAUUCAGCUUCUCUGCUCUCUCCCUCCACCAAUGAAAGCCCAGACCAGGGUUCCAGGCCAGAACAUCUGA